UGGGGGAUAUUGCACAAUGGGCGAAAGCCUGAUGCAGCGACGCCGCGUGGGGGAUGAAGGCCUUCGGGUUGUAAACUUCUUUUGCUCUGAACAAGGCAUGCCUUUGGGGUGUGUUGCGUGUAGGGGUUGAUUAGCGCCGGCUAACUACGUGCCAGCAGCCGCGGUAAUACGUAGGGCGCGAGCGUUGUCCGGAAUUAUUGGGCGUAAAGGGCUUGUAGGUGGCUGGUUGCGUCUGUCGUGAAAGCUCAUGGCUUAACUGUGGGUUUGCGGUGGGUACGGGCUGGCUUGAGUGCAGUAGGGGAGGCUGGAAUUCCUGGUGUAGCGGUGGAAUGCGCAGAUAUCAGGAGGAAUACCGGUGGCGAAGGCGGGUCUCUGGGCUGUUACUGACGCUGAGGAGCGAAAGCGUGGGGAGCGAACAGG
rnacentral:rRNA from 1 species